AUUGAACGCUGGCGGCAUGCCUUACACAUGCAAGUCGAACGGCAGCACGGGUGCUUGCACCUGGUGGCGAGUGGCGAACGGGUGAGUAAUACAUCGGAACGUACCUUAUCGUGGGGGAUAACGCAGCGAAAGUUGCGCUAAUACCGCAUACGCCCUGAGGGGGAAAGCGGGGGACCGUAAGGCCUCGCGCGAUUCGAGCGGCCGAUGUCUGAGUAGCUUGUUGGUGAGGUAAAAGAUCACCAAGGCGAUGACCAGUAGCUGGUCUGAGAGGACGAUCAGACACACGUGGACGGAGACACGGCCCAGACGCGUACGGGAGGCAGCAGUGGGGAAUUUUGGACAAUGGGGGCAACCCUGCUCCAGCAAUGCCGCGUGAGUGAAGAAGGCCUUCGGGUUGUAAAGCUCUUUUGUCAGGGAAGAAACAGCAGCUCUAACACAGUCUGCGAAUGACGGUACCUGAAGAAUAAGCACCGGCUAACUACGUGCCAGCAGCCGCCGUAA
rnacentral:rRNA from 1 species